rnacentral:lncRNA from 1 species
CAAAGUCAGGCCCUUAGUGUGUGGUUUGUAAAUUAUUUUAACCUAAUAGUAUCAUUUUAGACUAUUUCAUCUCUUUCAUUUAACUCUUUUUAAAACAGCUUACUAUCAGAUUUGGUGCCUGGAAACAGCUGUACAAAGACACAGAGAUCCUGUUUUGAAAGGGUAUCUCUUGAAAGCACAUCCUAGUAGCUCUUGUUCUUGUAAGAUAACAUCCACGACCUGGUUUGUUUACAGCUAUUCUAACAAACGUGUUGCAGUCUCGCCUUCUUCCCAAUCCCGCUAGUCUAUCGCACGGGGGGUAGCCUGUGAGGGCUUUUUUCUGGGGCCAGCAGGUGCCGCUACCGAGCUGUGUGCGCCUCUGGGUUUGGGGAUGGUUAAUCACCGACCCAGGUUAAGUGAAACAACCAGCUGAAGAAUUGCAUGGCGGUGGCUGUUGAUUUUUCCCAAACGAGCGGCACUUUCAGUUCCAGUCUGGACCUGGAGAGCGGGGGAUGCAUUAAAUCCCGGGGAGAGGGGGGUGAUUCCGAUCCAUGCUGCUUCCUUCAGAAGAUGAGAGCCCCCUCCCCGAUCUGCAGGCAGCGGGGGCAGGAGCAGCAGCGGGGAGCCGAGUCAUGGGUGACGGCACUUUAAUGAAGUUUGUGGCAGGCUCAUGUUGGCAGUAGAGGUAGGUAGUCGAACAAUGGCCCUUUCCUAUAGCACCAUGAGAAGCUGUUUAUGAACAGAGGUGGGGGGAAAUGUUUUCACUCCCAAAUGGCGGAAUCUCUCAUGUGAGGCCCCAGUCCCCUAUCAGCCACUUUAAACUACUUGCUGACCCAGACCGAGCACAGUAAAGGCACAUUAGUGGCCACGUUUGGCGAUCCGGAAUGUGGGUGGGGUGGGUCUACAUGCCCCCUUUUUCUUUUAUUCUUGUAAGAGCACUUUUAAUGAGAACUUCCCCUGUUUCCCCUAGGCAACCCUAUGUGAUAUCAGUCUCCUGAGGGUAACAGGCGGAAAGGAAGGAGAUGCUGCAAGCAUCCGGGUAUAGACCCGGUCCUUAUGCUGAUAUGCUGUGUACCGCAAUGAUGCCAGCAGAAUUAAUUCAGGAGUUGCAGGGAAGGUGUGUCCUACCAUGGUGGAAGAAAUAAGACUGCCCUGCCCAGAAACCUUCUGCAAAGGAUUGCAGAGUACCUCCAUU